AUUGAACGCUGGCGGCAUGCCUUACACAUGCAAGUCGAACGGUAACAGGUCUUCGGAUGCUGACGAGUGGCGAACGGGUGAGUAAUACAUCGGAACGUGCCCGAGAGUGGGGGAUAACGAAGCGAAAGCUUUGCUAAUACCGCAUACGAUCUCAGGAUGAAAGCAGGGGACCGCAAGGCCUUGCGCUCACGGAGCGGCCGAUGGCAGAUUAGGUAGUUGGUGGGAUAAAAGCUUACCAAGCCGACGAUCUGUAGCUGGUCUGAGAGGACGACCAGCCACACUGGGACUGAGACACGGCCCAGACUCCGACGGGAGGCAGCAGUGGGGAAUUGUGGACAAUGGGCGCAAGCCUGAUCCAGCCAUGCCGCGUGCAGGAUGAAGGCCUUCGGGUUGUAAACUGCUUUUGUACGGAACGAAAAGACUCUGGUUAAUACCUGGGGUCCAUGACGGUACCGUAAGAAUAAGCACCGGCUAACUACGUGCCAGCCGCCGCGGUAAUAC
rnacentral:rRNA from 1 species